AUCCAAGUGACGGGUUCUAAAUAGGACGAAAUGUACAUCCUAGAU
rfam:Schistosoma mattheei strain Denwood, Zambia genome assembly, scaffold: SMTD_scaffold0008917